rnacentral:lncRNA from 1 species
GGAUUACAGGCGCAUGCCACCACGCCCGGCUAAUUUUUUUGUAUUUUUAGUAGAGACGGGGUUUCACCGUGUUAACCAGGAUGGUCUUCAACUCCUGACCUCAAGUAAUCUGCCCGCCUCGGCCUCCCGAAGUGCUGGGAUUACAGGCGUGACCCACCGCGCCCGGCAGAUGAGGAAACUGACCUUUAGAAAGAAUGUUUUUCAGACUGAACCUAUCCAGAAUUGUGAUUCAUGACUCACCAGAUCCUGUGGCCCCCCUAUCCAGGGGUGCACUCAGCACAUGAGGACGCCUGUGAUUCUGCCCCUAUGAGUUCAUCCCCAACCAGUCAGCAAUACCCAUUCCUUAACCCCCUGCCUGGCAAACUGUCUGGGAGACUGAUUUGAGUGAUAACUCCAAUUCUCUUGUGUGGGCCAGCCACAUAUCAAUAAAACUCUUUCUCUACUGCAAUGCCAUGGUCUCAGUGGAUUGAUUUUGUCUGUACACUGGGGCAGGAAGAACCCAUCAGGG